rnacentral:rRNA from 1 species
GAGUUUGAUUAUGGCUCANNCCUUUNNGCGUAGCGGCAGGCCUAACACAUGCAAGUCGAGGGGNANCAGAAUAGCUUGCUAUUGCUGACGACCGGCGCACGGGUGCGUAACGCGUAUACAAUCUACCUUAUACAGGAGGAUAGCCCUAAGAAAUUGGGAUUAAUACUCCAUAGUAAUUUGAAUUCGCAUGAAUUUAAGUUUAAAACUUCGGUGGUAUAAGAUGAGUAUGCGUGAUAUUAGCUAGUUGGUAAGGUAACGGCUUACCAAGGCGACGAUAUCUAGGGGGCCUGAGAGGGUUAUCCCCCACACUGGUACUGAGACACGGACCAGACUCCUACGGGAGGCAGCAGUGAGGAAUAUUGGUCAAUGGAGGCAACUCUGAACCAGCCAUGCCGCGUGAAGGAAGAAUGUCCUAUGGAUUGUAAACUUCUUUUAUUUGGGAAGAAACCUACCCACGUGUGGGUAGCUGACGGUACCAAAAGAAUAAGGACCGGCUAACUCCGUGCCAGCAGCCGCGGUAAUACGGAGGGUCCAAGCGUUAUCCGGAAUCAUUGGGUUUAAAGGGUUCGCAGGCGGUUUAUUAAGUCAGUGGUGAAAUCUCGGGGCUCAACUCCGAAACUGCCAUUGAUACUGAUAGACUUGAAUAUAGUUGGAGUAGGCGGAAUGUGUAGUGUAGCGGUGAAAUGCUUAGAUAUUACACAGAACACCGAUAGCGAAGGCAGCUUACUAAACUAUUAUUGACGCUCAUGAACGAAAGCGUGGGGAGCGAACAGGAUUAGAUACCCUGGUAGUCCACGCCGUAAACUAUGAUUACUCGAUAUUGGCGAUACACAGUCAGUGUCUAAGCGAAAAGUGAUAAGUAAUCCACCUGGGGGAGUACGGUCGCAAGAUUGAAACUCAAAGGAAUUGACGGGGGCCCGCACAAGCGGGGGAGCAUGUGGUUUAAUUCGAUGAUACGCGAGGAACCUUACCAGGGCUUNAAUGUAGUUUGACAGGACUGGAAACAGUUUUUCNUCNGACAAU